UCCGAAUUGGUGUAGUGGCCAACAUUUGACGCUCUCAACUAUACUCUUUCUUAUUCUCAGAAGUUAAGAUGUGGAAAAGUGCCGUCAAGCCCGGGGUUCGAUUCCCCGAUUCGGAG
rnacentral:tRNA from 1 species